rnacentral:rRNA from 1 species
AUUGAACGCUGGCGGCAUGCCUUACACAUGCAAGUCGAACGGCAGCACGGGAGCAAUCCUGGUGGCGAGUGGCGAACGGGUGAGUAAUGCAUCGGAACGUGCCAUUGAGUGGGGGAUAACGUAGCGAAAGUUACGCUAAUACCGCAUAUUCUGUGCGCAGGAAAGCAGGGGAUCGCAAGACCUUGCGCUCUUUGAGCGGCCGAUGUCAGAUUAGCUAGUUGGUGGGGUAAAGGCUCACCAAGGCGACGAUCUGUAGCGGGUCUGAGAGGAUGAUCCGCCACACUGGGACUGAGACACGGCCCAGACUCCUACGGGAGGCAGCAGUGGGGAAUUUUGCGCAAUGGACGAAAGUCUGACGCAGCAACGCCGCGUGGGUGAUGAAGGUCUUCGGAUUGUAAAACCCUGUCGCCAGGGACGAAGGGUGAGGUGUGAAUAGCGCC